AUAAGCUUUUUUUUUUUUUUAUGAAAAGCUUAUUCUGUAAAUGUACUUACACACCUUACUUAAGCUCUGAUCAAAUUAUAAUAUUGUUUUGCAUGCACGUUUAUUCUGUGACUUUUUUUAGCCUCAGGAGACCUGGCUGAAGAAAAAGAUUCACCAGAACCUGGUAAUUUCAGGUUGACGGGAGGAGCCACCCGCUGUGCUGGUGGACUGAAUGAAACUCUACAAUGACUGGAAACCAGUGGAUGACCCUUUGUUUGGCUGGGACCUGAGAACAGCAGAUUUAGUGUGUAGACAGUUGGACUGUGUGGAUCCGCUGUGUCAGCAAAAAUCAAGGACAAUCGCUCCGUAAGACAUGUAUGGAAAAUAAAUGCUUCCAGUGUUCUGUCUGCAUCUGCACUGAGAGACUACAAAUCAGUGACGCCCCAGAAUUCCUCUACCAGCUUGGAGAUCACCUGCUCAGAUUUGCUGUUUCAGCCAAUGAUCUCUAUCUCUCCUUCUAUCGAUGGGAUCUACGAGUCCUCCAACUUCACCAUCAGCUGCUCCAUUAAACCACAGUACCCAGGAGGCUCUUUCCAGCUCACCUUCAACACAUCUAACACAGCAAACAUCUACACCCAGAAAGCUGUGAAUCACACUGCACACUUCCUGUUUCCUGCUGCAAACCAUGGAUACCAAGGGAACUAUAGCUGUUCCGUUUUCUCUCAUAAAUUCUCCUCAGUGAGCCAGCCACUCCAUCUCAGUAUCUCAGCCUCUCCAACAGUUUUCAUCGUAAGACUUGUUGGCCUGCUGCUGACUUUGGCAUUGCUUCUUUCUGCCAUUGGUCUCCACAAAAUGGGGGCAGGAGUCAGGACGCCAGGAGAACAUUGAGCUUGACUAUUGCAACCUGCAUCCAGAGCUGAAGGUGGGCCAAAUGAAGAGGAUGUGACCCAGGGAACAGAUCUUUAAAGAGCUAUUCUUUCAACUAUAUCAUUUAACUAUGCUUUUAAAAGAGUACAUCACUGAUUGAACAGACUUUGAUGAUGUUUAAAAUCAGUGGACCCCCCCCUCGAGCCACAUUUACAGUGUCAUUCUGCGGGAAACACUGACAUUGUUUAAUUUUCAAAUAACACCAUAUUUUUGUAAUACUGCACAUUGCUGCAGCUCCUCUUUUCACCCAGAGUGCUGAAGGAUUCGUUUUAGUUACGGAGUGAUGCAUCUUGCCUCUACAUGAUCUUUGUUGUGAGUUUCACAUGUGCAGUUCCUAGUUAAGGACUACUAAACAGGGCUUCAGUUCUGCUGGAUGUGUUCCCCUUACCAGCUUAGCAACAUGGACUGGAAAAUUGGCGCUUGGCGAGCGUUAUGACGCGCAUUUUGCGGAUGCAAGGGAAACGGCUGGACUACAAACGAGCUGUUUUCAGGCAAUUCAUAGCAAUGUUUUCUGUGGGAGAUGGGAAGAUGAGAUGGACUUUGGGCUUUUUCACUUUGCAAACAUAUUACGUGCACAGAAAAGAUGUAACUCAAUAAAGGAGAGGGAAAAGGCAAAAAUACCACCAUGUUACCAUCAUGUUCAGACUGAAUGUAAAACGCAUACAAGCUUUAA